UUCAAGUAGGAAUAGUCAACGGAAGCAAGUAAAGCAGGCCUUCACUAGGCCUGGAUCUUAGUUUUUACUUAAAAAACAUUAAAUAAAUAUAAAAUUUAAGUUUAAUUCAUUCUUGGCAGCGUAAUAUGUAUGCGGAGUGAAAAAUAGAGCCACACAUACCACAAUUCGUUGUUAAACCGGGACCGCCAAAAUAAUCACAAUCUUGUCAAAAAUAUAUAUGUAUGUAUCAGAGAGCAGCUUCGGGCAGAGAACUUACAACAUAGAGAAGGUGCAGGUUCGACAGCGAAAUAAAUUCAAGUCUGAAAACUUUCAACGGGGGAAUUUACCACACUAGCGGGGAAUUCACCUUCUGAAAAGUUAACAGCAAUUUCAGUUUUAGCAGCAGGGAAUCUGUAAAACGAGAAAUUGCUGGCACAUGAAAUAAUCAUGUGAUAUUUUUCAAAUCCAUUUAAAUUUUUUAUUAUUUUUUAUUUUAUGUUAUUUUAAACUAAUUUAUAAAUUGAUAUAAUUACUAAUUAAAAUCAUAUUUUUACCAAA